CCGCCUGCCAUCGCCAGCGCGCAAUCCUUUCCAUCCGCGUCCGCAAUCCGCCGCGCCCCUGCGCCAAAUACGCCACCACGCCCCUGCUCACCGAUGGAAGGUCUCCACGCACAAUCUGCCGCCCCUGCGCCAAAUCCGCCGCCAUGCCCCUGCUCGCCGAUGGAAGGUCUCCACGUGCAAUCCGCCGCCUGCCAUCGCCAGCGCGCAAUCCUUUCCAUCUGCGCCCGCAACGCUCGCCCAUGUGCCAAAUCCUCCUUGGACGCGCCCCGACGGCUGGCGCAACCCCUCCUCGUGCCACGACUUGCGGAGAAUGGAAGGUCCGUGGAGCAAUAAAGGGUGGAGCGAAGGUUAUUGGCGGCGGCGGGAUCUUCAACCUAUUUGAUUGGAAGCGAAAGUCGCGCAAGAAGCUGUUCUCCAACUCGCCCGAGGGGUCCAAGCUUGUUAAGAGGAGCGAAGAAACAUUGCUGUCAGGGUGUCUCCACUUGCUUGAUGAACUCAAGACACUGGCGAAUGAUUGUCAACACCGUGAAAUGAGUCUCGAAGUCGUUCCUGAUGACGGGGGGUGGUGGAGGUUGGGGCCGUUGUUGCUCCAGGUGUAGUUCUCGAUGAAGUAGACACAAUCAAUUCUGGCCCUGAACGAGACCUCCCGUAGAAGCUCUUCAGCCUGCCUAAUGGAUCUCAUGCUCUUGCUUGGCAUGGAUGUCUCACCCUCGCCCUCUCACAAUUGUAAUCUCUUUGCCCUUUUAGUGUUAUGUUCCUGGGCUUCAAAAGCUCAAUAUAUGAGGUGGGAUUUUUGCCUCCCCAUCGAGAAAAAAUAAAAAAUGUAUGUUGUCAUGCUAUGCUGAUGGACGGGGGGGAAGGGGCAUGCUCCCAGGCCGCCGCAGAGAUGCAGGGUUUUUUCUGCGAAUCUGAUAAAGCAUGGGUAGCGCAAGCAGAGAUGCAGGGUGAACCGUUCCAAAUCUGAUAAAGCAUGGGUAGCGCAAGCAGAGAUGCAGGGUGAAUCGUUCCAAAUCUGAUAAAGCAUGGGUAGCGCAAGCAGAGAUGCAGGGUUUUUCCUGCGAUAUUAUGUUUACUGAUAAGGAGCUAGAUAUAAUUGAGAUGGCUGUGUAUGGGGACAUCAUUCGUCCAGGGAAGCAAUGUCGCUGCAGAACAGUAGUAGAGGUGCUCGGGCAGGUGAAGCCAACGAAUCGCAUGGCUGCAUUUGAUUCCAUUCAACAUGGGAACUUGAGUUCUUUCUCACAAGGCAUAAUAUUGGGAACUCGCCGACAUCGUCGCGUAGGGUGGUGCUCACCGGAGACUCCACCUUUGGUAAGUCAAACCUGCUCAUCAGAUCCACAGAUCCGACACCAUGCUUAGACGACCAUGGCAAGACCGUCGAGGAGGACACCGGCCCUAGAUUGCGACCAUCAUGGAGCUCGAUGAGGUCGUCGUUACCACCGGAGAGGAUGACGAUACAGUGCUCCUGGACAUGUGAGUCAUCACUUCGAUUCUCCCCCUCCACGAUCUGACCGACAAGGUCCUAUCAUGCAGCACACGAAGACACCUAAGAUCUGCACUAACCAUCUCGUGUUGACGACAACUAAGAUUUAGUAGCAAGCCGGCAACGACAAGGCAUGCGUGUGUCACGCACUCGACUUCGCAAAUGGUGAGCUCAAGGAGAAGAUGCUUGCUAUCCGUUUUGGAUCUGUGGACAACAUCUCACCCUACACCGAUGAACCAGAGGUCACCGCACCCUUGGUCAAGUUCAUGUAUGAAUUUGUUUUGAACAAAGCUCAAAGACUGACAUUUGAUUCAUCAUAACCAAAUGGGAUCCAUUUGUUCCGGGAGGUUAGCAAGAUAAUCGUGGCUUACAAAUCAUGAAAUCUAUUGCUUCCUAAUGGCACAAACAUUUAUGGAAGUAAAUACAAAGGCAUAUGGAUCUCGAUCUCACUGACUGUUCUCUAAAGGGCCGCUUUGGAUCUUGAAAACAGUGAAGGAAAAAACUUGCAGCGUCUUGUCCAUUUGUCUUCCGACCUAGCUAGGCAUGUUGCCAUGGUUCUGGAAAAUGUUCAGACAUCUGAAGAGAAUAGGAAAUUUGGAAGUGUUCCUUCUAUAAACACAAGCUCAUGUGGUCGUCCAUCAACCAAAGAGGAGAUCAAUGAAGUCCAUCAAGAGAAGCAAAAGUUUGUUGAAGGAGCAAAGAAAGAAGUCCGAGGCCGUCGUGCCCGUCGUAUGCAGGACGACAACCUAUCACUCCACUCCAAUUCCUACAAAGGAAGGUCCAAAACUAGCCUCCUAGAAUGCUUGAAGGAUUCUCGUAGCCAUGCCACUAAGAGUGACAGACCCGGUAUUACCAUUCAAGGGUGCAAGCGUCGCUAACCAACACGUCGUGCGAUGGGUUGCACUAACCUCUAGCAACCAACACCUCGUCAGCCUACUGCUAUCACCUAAAAUCGGACGGCUCCGACAGACAAAAGCAUCAGCUAGAGCGUGAGAAAGACCAUACCACUCAGGAACCAAGCUCUUCCUCCACCAACGCGUGAAACCUUUUCUCAUAACAAUAUAAUACACAUUUUAGUAUAAUACACAUUUGUACAUAAAUUAUCGUGAUAUUAUAUGUUUUAGUUGCAAUGCACAUAAGUUAUCGUGGUAUUAUAUGAUCUCGUGUUAUCGUGGUAUUAUAUGUUCUCAUUGUAAUGUACAAAACAUUCUCAUAACAGUAUAAUAUACAUUUCAACAUAAUACAUAUUUAUACAUAAGUUACCGUGAUAUUAUAUGUUCCCGUUGCAACGCACGGGCACUCACCUAGUUUUAUAUUAUAUUGGUAUUGUAAUG